rnacentral:rRNA from 1 species
GAUGAACGUUAGCGACAGGCUUAACACAUGCAAGUCGAGGGGCAGCAUAGAAGUAGCAAUACUUUGGUGGCGACCGGCGCACGGGUGAGUAACGCGUAUGCAACCUACCUAUCAGAGGGGAAUAACCCGGCGAAAGUCGGACUAAUACCGCAUAAAACAGGGGCACCGCAUGGUGAUAUUUGUUAAAGAAAUUCGCUGAUAGAUGGGCAUGCGUUCCAUUAGGUAGUUGGUGAGGUAACGGCUCACCAAGCCGACGAUGGAUAGGGGAACUGAGAGGUUGGUCCCCCACACUGGUACUGAGACACGGACCAGACUCCUACGGGAGGCAGCAGUUAGGAAUAUUGGUCAAUGGGCGGGAGCCUGAACCAGCCAAGUCGCGUGAAGGAAGAAGGAUCUAUGGAUUGUAAACUGCUUUUGUACGGGAAGAAACACUCCUACGUGUAGGAGCUUGACGGUACCGUAAGAAUAAGGAUCGGCUAACUCCGUGCCAGCAGCCGCCGUAAUAC